UACGUAGGGGGCUAGCGUUGUCCGGAUUUAUUGGGCGUAAAGAGCGUGUAGGCGGCCAGGUAGGUCUGCUGUGAAAACUCGAGGCUCAACCUCGAGACGUCGGCGGAAACCAUCUGGCUAGAGUCCGGAAGAGGAGAGUGGAAUUCCUGGUGUAGCGGUGAAAUUCGUAGAUAUUCGCAAGAACACCAGUGGCGAAGGCGGCUCACUGGCCCGGUACUGACGCUGAGGUGCGAAAGCGUGGGGAGCAAACAGG
rnacentral:rRNA from 1 species